rnacentral:rRNA from 1 species
CAGCCGCCACGGUAAUACGGAGGGUGCAAGCGUUAUCCGGAUUUAUUGGGUUUAAAGGGUCCGUAGGCGGAUCUGUAAGUCAGUGGUGAAAUCUCACAGCUUAACUGUGAAACUGCCAUUGAUACUGCAGGUCUUGAGUAAAUUUGAAGUGGCUGGAAUAAGUAGUGUAGCGGUGAAAUGCAUAGAUAUUACUUAGAACACCAAUUGCGAAGGCAGGUCACUAAGAUUUAACUGACGCUGAUGGACGAAAGCGUGGGGAGCGAACAGGAUUAGAUACCCCUGUAGUCCCUGUCUCUUAUAC